ACGUAGGUGACAAGCGUUAUCCGGAAUUACUGGGCGUAAAGCGCACGCAGGCGGCUGCUUAAGUCUGACGUAAAAUCUCCUGGCUUAACUGGGAGGGGUCGUUGGAAACUGAGUAGCUUGAGGCAGUGAGAGGGGUGUAGAAUUCCCGGUGUAGUGGUGGAAUGCGUAGAUAUCGGGAGGAAUACCAGAGGCGAAGGCGACACCCUGGCACUGACCUGACGCUCAUGUGCGAAAGCGUGGGGAGCGAACGGGAUUAGAUACCCCGGUAGUCCACGCUGUAAACGAUGAGUACUAGGUGUAGGUAGAGUGAAAUCUGUCUGUGCCGAAGCAAACGCGAUAAGUACUCCGCCUGGGGAGUACGGCCGCAAGGCUA
rnacentral:rRNA from 1 species